rnacentral:lncRNA from 1 species
GAGAAUUGAACUUAGGACCUCUGGAAGACUACUGAGCCAUUUCUCCAGUCCUUUUUUUCUUUUUCUUUUUCUUUUCUUUUCUUCUUUUUUCUUUUCUUUUUCUUUCUUUGAGACAGGAUUUUUUUUUUCAAACCCAGAAUCACAGGGUGAUUCUAAAAUUAGUUGGAAAAGCCAAAAGAAAGAGCCAAAAUCAUACUUGAAGAAAAUGAAUGGAUUGUGAUAGCUUUAGCUUGCUUUAGUAAAACUUUCUGUAAAGCUGUAUGUACUGGUCUGCUGUGCUAGUGGUUACACUGGGAAUGUAGGCAGGCUAAUGGCACAGAAUAGAGGCCCAGGAACAGCCCACAAGAAUACAAGGGCUCUAUAAAUAACAAAGGAGGCACUGAACUGUCUGUCAAAACCAGGCAGACAUGUCAGCAGUACUUGUCCACCUGUGGAAGGAAAAGAAGAGUGUCUAUUUUACUUGUACAAAACUAAAUUUCAAAUGAAUUAAUGUUUAAAUAGAACAAACCCAGCAUACUGAAAAAGCUAUCAAUGUGGUACACCCUAGCCCAUUUUCAGUAUUCAGCUGGAUUAGGGUCCAACAGUCUCUUCUCAGAAUAUCAAGUACUAAAUACUGUGUUGGACACCAUGUGGCCUUCUUUGCAACUGGACUCUGACCCACUCAUUUAUAGUAGAUAAACGAAUGGCUAAGACUGACUUCCAACAAUGCUUUGGGUACAAGAGUGACAGCAGGCCACACUGGGUCUUGUCACCAUUUUAUUGUUAAUCACUGAGUUAGGUGGCAGGUUUAGGUGGAUUAAGUUUUCUUAUUUAAAAUUUAUUUGUAUGAUGUACUUAAUUUUAUAUGUGGUUCUAUUUCAAGAACUUUUAUCAGAAAAAUAAGAUGCCAAGCCUAAGGAAUAGAAACAAAUAGAAUAGAAACCUGUACAAAGGUUAAAGAAUCAAUGAUGUGGAGCUUGAGAAAUGGCUCAGCAGUUAAGAGCACUGACUGCUCUUCCAGAGGUCUGGAAUUCAAAUCCCAGCAUCCACAUGGUGGCUCACAACCAUCUGUAACGUGAUCUGAUGCCCUCUUCUGAUGUGUCUGAAGACAGCUAUGGUGUACUGAUGUACCUUAAAUAAAUAAAUCUUUUUUAAAAAUCAAUGAUGCCUAAGAUUUUAUAGCUCUGGAAAUGAGAAGAUAAUGAAGCAGUGUCUCAAACUUCUAACCCAGCAUUCUGUACCCAACUAAUAGAAUUCAGAAGAGAGUCCAACUGCCUUUUCAUACCUAUCAACAUCUGGUAUCUGUAGUCUGUACUGUGCCUAUCCUUGUGGGUGAACUGUCCUCUAUAACCAGUCAGUCUGAAUGUCCAUGGACUUCGUCCCACAAUGUAUUUCAAUAGUCAACAUCAAACAAAAAUAGACAAAAGUUCCUGAUUUCCUGAAGCUUGCAUUUGAGUAAAGGAGACCUUAAAUCAGAAUGUACACUACCUAUAAAGGCCCAGUAGCUACUGAGAAGUACCCAGGAAUGGAGAACAGAGGAGACAGUGGAGAGGAGUGAGGAAAGAGAUCAGGAUUUUCUCUGGCAUGAGAAACGCCUUUUGAGAAGGUGCUUCUUAGUGCCUCGUUCUGCCUCCAUGCCACCUUGAGGAAGUGCUCCAGCAGAGAAGCAAGAGCUUAGUUCUGCCCAGUCUUUGUUUCUCCUCUGCUUUCAAAAGUGCACACCAAAAUGAUACAGAGACUCCUAAACCAUAAUGACAAAACAUGGUCAGGGAGGUGUCUCCUAAGGUAAAGGCACUUGCUGCCAAGGCUGAUAACCUAAGGUCAGUCUUCAACACUCACGUGGUGGUGGUAGAAGGAAAGAACUUACUACUGCAAGUUGUUCUCCAACCUCCACAUGCACAUAUGCAUGCAUGCACACACAUAUAAAUG